GCCAUAUCAUGUUGAAACACCGGUUCUCGUACGAUCACCGAAGUUAAGCAACGUCGAGCCUGGUCAGUACCUAGAUGGGUGACCGCUUGGGAAUACCAGGUGCUGUAAG